rnacentral:rRNA from 1 species
AACGCUGGCGGCAGGCCUAACACAUGCAAGUCGAACGGUAACAUUUCUAGCUUGCUAGAAGAUGACGAGUGGCGGACGGGUGAGUAAUACUUAGGAAUAUGCCUUUGUGUGGGGGAUAACUAUUGGAAACGAUAGCUAAUACCGCAUAACGUCUUCGGACCAAAGGGGGCUUCGGCUCCCGCGCAAAGAGUAGCCUAAGCGAGAUUAGCUUGUUGGUGAGGUAAAGGCUCACCAAGGCGACGAUCUCUAGCUGUUCUGAGAGGAAGAUCAGCCACACUGGAACUGAGACACGGUCCAGACUCCUACGGGAGGC